AAGUCGUAACAAGGUUUCCGUAGGUGAACCUGCGGAAGGAUCAUUAUCGUGCAACGGAGGUGCGAGGGCUGUCGCUGAUCUUCAAAGGUCGUGCACGCCCGAGUGCUUUCACACAAUCCAUCUAACCCCUUUGUGCAUCACCGCGUGGGUCCCCCUUUGCGGGAGGGCUUGCGUUUUCACAUAAAACUUGAUACAGUGUAGAAUGUCCUUUUGCGCUCACACGCAAAUCAAUACAACUUUCAACAACGGAUCUCUUGGCUCUC
rnacentral:misc_RNA from 1 species